ACUGAACGCUGGCGGCAGGCCUAACACAUGCAAGUCGAACGAGUGGCGGACGGGUGAGUAAUGGCUGGGAAACUGCCUGAUGGAGGGGGAUAACUACUGGAAACGGUAGCGAAUACCGCAUACCAUCGGAGGGGCCCAGAUUGGAUUAGCUAGUAGGUGGGGUAAAGGCUCACCUAGGCGACGAUCCCUAGCUGGUCGGAGAGGAUGACCGGCCACACUGGGACUGGGACACGGUCCAAACUCCUACGGGAGGCAGCAGUGGGGAAUAUUGCACAAUGGGCGAAAGCCUGAUGCAGCCAUGCCGCGUGUGUGAAGAAGGUUUUCGGGUUGUAAAGUACUUUCGUCGGGGAGGCGUUACUCGACGAAGAAGCCCCGGCUAACUACGUGCCAGCAGCCGCGGUAAUAC
rnacentral:rRNA from 1 species